GUUGAAAAGGAGCUGACCAGGCAAGUUUGCGGGGUUGAUGCAAAAUCAGGGGGUCUAUCUAGGCCCAGAAAGAGAAGAGAACAUGAAUGAAGAUCUUGGAUCAGCAGGAUCUUAGCCCAUUUGAAGAACAGAGUGAAAGUCUACAUGGUUAAGGCAGGGUGAUGGUGGGAGUGCUUAAAAAGUGAUGCAAUCAGGAAAGGGUUGGGCAGAAGUCAGAGGAUGCCUUGGAGGCCACGCUAAAGUAUCACAGAGGGAUCCACUGAAGCUCUACAAAGUGCAUCAUUGUGUUUAGACUGCCUUAUCCUGCUCGGAGUCUCAGAGAUACAGGAAGAGGGAGUUAUGGGAUUCCGCAUCUUCUUCUAUGUGUCGUCUGGAACUUAAAGGACCAUUACUAGAUUGGCAUCCCUAACAAGAACUUGGAUUUGCCCAAGGUUCUUUACAUCUAAGGAUUUGAUUAAGUCACGUCCUGUGAUGAGCUUCCGUCCCUGCACCCAACCUGCUCUGAGGGCAUACUGUUUAAAAUCCAAAGUCCCUGGCGUGGAGCUUGUGAAACCCAGGACGUUCGCACUGGGACCAGAAAAUGCAUGACACAUGAGAAGAUGCACCUUCAUCUGUUCCAUGAGAAAUGUGUGAAUCAACAGCACAGAACUGCCGAAGGAAAAAAAAAAAACCUCCACAUAGUGUGGGUUAUUUCACCUUCACAAGCUGGGAGCCAUUAAGUAAUGGCUCCUUCCACUCUCCCCACCCCCUUCGGUGAAACACAUCCUGAACACUGAGCCCACAUUUUCCAGAAGAAUGUGCCCCAUGCCCCUCGGAAACUCCAUUUCGUUUACUUGGUUCAGUUAGUUAAUGACGGUCCAUUUUGGCUCAAACAUCCAAUUCCCUUUCAUCAAUCAUGUCUUUCUGGACUGUCCGUUUCAGAGCAGUGAUUACCAAGCCUUUCCACGCAGACAUCCACAGACGCCCUCGAAGAAAGACCCUGAUCCAGUUCUCCAUAUAGAAUUUCCUAGGCUCCCGUUUCUUCCACUUUCUUCCAAAUGAAAAGAAUGAGUUAUGUGAAAAUGGGAAACCCCACCAGAAAAUGGAUGUUGGUGACUCAAGUGUUAAUCUAGAAAUCUUAUUAUUUGGUGCUGGAAAAGGGCAUUGUAAUAUGAUGGGUUUUUUAUACAAUGCAAACGUGGGGAAUGCAAAACACUG
ensembl:lncRNA